GGAAGAGGUGCUGAUCACCUCAUGGAAUCACAGGCUUGUUUGGGUUGGAAGGGACCAUGAAGACAAUCAGGACUCUGGCAUCCGAAUUCACAGCAAAGAGCACGUCCAGAAGUGCCUCCUCACCCUCCUGCAUGUCAUGAGUGUCUUCCACGGCACCACCCGGCCUCUUUGGGAACGGGAACGGCUGCUGGGAGCUCUGGCAGCAGCACCUGGAGAGCAGGUAAAAAGAGCCAUAGGAUUGUUUUGGCUGCUGCUGGAUCUGGUUUUCCCUCU